rnacentral:rRNA from 1 species
UAAUACAAAGCUUCCUGUAAAUUACCCCCAGCAGUUCAAACUAAAUAAUCUAUCUGAAGCUAAGCAUGUUUGGGCCUGUCCAGUUCUUGGAUGGGAGACCAGCUAGGAAAGCUGGGUUGGUGUGGC